ACAGAAAAAGGUUGAUGGCUGCAUAGUUGACUGGUGGAAAUGUGAUCUAGCUUCACAAACCUGGACUUUGGCCACUUAGUCAGAUGGAGGCCACUGUUGAGGCGAGUCCUACAUGAUCUUAAUGCUUGUACACUUGUUUCACCGUGUUUCAAUGACGAUAAACCUAGCUCACUUUGAACCGAUGUGAAACUAUACAAACUUACUGAGAAACUUCAGACCCCAUAUUGAGUGUUGACUAUAUGGGGAAGUUGCUUAUGUCCAUUUCUGCCAACAGACAUGGGACUUGGUGCUGCGGUGAGAUCGUCCAAGUUUGAAAACCGCCCACAUAUGAAGGUGUCUUGGCGGUGGUGUUCAGAAACUAUUUCUACUCCAACCAAGGGUUCCUCGGAGCUAGACUGGUCCAGUGUUGAUCUGCCACACUCGAGUCCUCAAACCCAGAUCUGGGGUCAACAUGAUUCUGGUCAUGUGGAUGUUCGGGGCGGUCACGUUAACCAUAACGUCACACGCUGCCUCAAUCCCAGGGCCAUGGCAGAUGUUUCUUAAAUGUCUGCCAUGGGCCUUCACUAAGGUGUGGGGACGGUGCUGACUCUGUUCCAUUAACGCAGGUUUGUGCAUUUGACAGUGCUUAAACCACUUAAGAAGUGAAAUGAUGAUGCUUGUAGCAUUAAACCCGUCGAACAUGUGCAAUCUAGUGCCUCGUACCUCCCUGUUGGCCCUUGACGGCACUGAGAACCCUGUAUCAGGUGUAAGGUGACCUCUUGGAAUCCCGUGGGAGGGUCUAGUUGUGCAAAUGACUGAGAAAUCAAUCUGAUCAAAAUGUUAAAUGUUUUUUUGCGUUUGUACAACUUAAAUGGCCUCUGAACAGUUCCUGCAUUUUGUCCUUUGCUUUCCUAGGACCUAGACUUGUCCUGUGAAUGGCGUCCUCAAACCCAGUUCUGGGUCAUCUUGGUAUGUUGACGUUCAUAUCACAAAACACUCCAUGGCUUUAUAGAAGGAUGUUGCAUUUUACCGCCCCAGUCUGAAGAUUCAUGACUGAUUGGUACACACUCUUAUCCUCCAUAAUUACAGACUAAGCAGCUGGUUUCGUGCGAUACACGUGAUCACUAACGGGCCUUUGUUUCCUCCAGAUAUUUGACUUUGGGCGUUUGGGGCGGCCACCUUAAACACUACGUCACACACUGUCUCAAUCCAGUGGCCAUGGCAGAUUCUUCUAAAAUGGCUGUCAUGGGCCUUUACCAGGGUGUCGGGACGAUGCUGACGUCUUCCCAUGAACGCAGGUUUGUGCUUUUGACAUUGCUUUAACCAUUUGAGAAAUGAAAUGGUGAAUGAAACUCCCAUUACUGUCGAACAUGUGCAAUCUAGUGCCUCGAACCUCCCUGUUGGCCCUUGACGGCACUGAGAACCCUGUAUCAGGUGUAAGGUGACCUCUUGGAAUCCCGUGGGAGGGUCUAGUUGUGCAAAUGACAGGUGUGACGAUCAUGCACUGAUCAUGUCACUGUACCUAAACUAUCAAUGAAGCACAUGAUGACUUAUUAUUACCGUCCCAGUCUGAACAUUCAUGACUGAUUGGUUUACAACCCUGAUUAGCUUGUUAAUGACAGCAUGAAUGCUGCUGGUGAUUGGUCCAUCCUGACAAUUCUUUCCUCUUCAGGUCACUGCAGUGCUGCCGGAAGUGUUGUCUACAAAAUGGCCGCCCUCCUUUGUUUGUGCAAAUUCCACAUUGCUUGGCUCAUGGAAUGAUAAUCAAUAAAGCACUUAAUUUUAAACUGGUUCAUGCUUGUCCAUCAAAUCGAUUGUGAAUAAGGUGGACUGAUGUGAUUACUUGUGUCAAACAGUAUUUUGCCCUACCUCUCCAUUAGUUCCUUAUUUGAAACCAUAUUCUACUUAAAUAUUAGGAUGCUUUACUCCCUAACAACUUGCAACUGAGGCAGCUAUAUUGUUGGCUACUCGAAAGGGCCUUAAUCUGCUGGGAGGACUAUAAUGCCGCUUUUCCAACUAAAUUCUUCGGUAACAAACAAAUUAACAUACUUCAUUGUGGGUUGGCAUGCCCAUUUAAACAAGAGGUAAUGAACAAACUUAAAACUUGUUUCCAAGCAAACUCAUUUUCAGCCCCUAACAAGAGAAAGGUGAGGCAGACUGUUGGUUCCGGAUCGUUGCAUUGAAUCUGAAGGUUGCCUCACCAUACCGGGGCUGAAUCCUGGAAAUGGUUAGCAGGUCUA
rnacentral:lncRNA from 1 species